CUGGGUUCUGUUGUUGGCAACCAACAGAGUUGUUGUCUUUUCUCGCAUUCAUUAAAAUGCACAAGAAGAAAUUUCUAAUGGUGAGGGAGUACUUGCUUCAAAUUCAUACUUCAGUGAAAUAAACAACACCAUACAUAGGAAUGUGAAAGCAAAGUCAUCAUACACUGUUUGCUUCAUUGUAUGAGAAUCAAUGUUUGCAUGAUAAACUGCCCUAAUGGAAGAGGACUCUGAGUUACCUUUUUCGAGCAAAGCCACCUAGGUUACUCUGUUUUCCCCAGAGUGACCCUUCUGUUCUGCAAAAAUCUACUUAAAUGUACCAAUCACAGAGUCUUUUGGAACUUAAACAUCUUGACUCUUCUGUUUAAAGCCUAAAUCAACCUGAGAGAAGAGAUGAAACAACUGAGGGCCAAAAAGUUUACAAAAUUUUCCAAGAUCAUACAGCUAAUUAACAACAUCUGGGCUCUUCUUGACUUUUGGAAUCCAAAAGGUGCUACCAGCAUCCCAAGGUGUCCAGCUUGUAGACAGCCUGUCGUGGGACUUCUCAACCUCCAUAAUUGUAUAACCUCAAAGUAAUGGGAGAAGAUACACAAGUGAUCAUUGCCAGGACUGAAGACUGUUCCUAGGACUACUAUUUGGAUCAACAGAAGCUGAAAAUGAGAAUAUCAAAGGCUGGGCAGAUAGUUUCACUCACGGGCAUUGAUCAGGAUGGCUGGAGGUCACCUGCUGCAAGAAGCACUGUGUUUUCUGUGCAGCUUAAUGAGAGGGAGCAUAUCAUUUCAGGACUCUCACAGGAUGCAGUGUUACUGAGAAUCUCAUGAGGCAAAUCCUAAAUGCCAGGAUAAAUUUGCAGAGAUAGAACUACUACUUUUUUUUUUUAAAUUUCCUUUUGUUAUGACUUGAACGUGUAAGGUCAUGCUUCGAGCCUGCUAUCCUAUAGCUCUCAAUUCUAAACUAGUUGCAAGUAUAUUGGACUUCUUGCCCUGACCCCUGUCCCUUUGAUAGGCCAGGUGAAUCCAAAUAUGCCCGAGUGCAUCUCACAGAAUACAUCUGAUUCUAGGAUGGGACUAGAGGUCUCCUGGUAUUUAGAACUGCAAAAUGAGGUAGCAAAAGCUCUAGUCAUAUGCCUCCCAUUUAUUUGACAUAUCAUCACAAACAUGUCCAUAAUUUACCAAGGUUGAUCCACUGCCUACUACAUUUGUGUGUGAAAAUGUGUCAUGCUUUGUGGAAAAAGUGAAAAUAGUUAUCUGUAUGGUGGGUGCACUUUGAGUGACUGGGGUGGGGUAUGAGCACUGUCUUACAAAAAAGUCAAGAGUAAUAUCUGACAAAGAUACUGUCCUUUACCCUGGAUACCAACAGAUGUUCUUGUUUUCAUUCAAAAUUACAAUUAUCAUUGAAGUGCACAGUGGCUUUUAAUUGAGACAGAUAAAACGUAACUUCAAGUAUUGAAGUAAUUUUUUUUUACUGUUUUUAAGACAACUGAAGAUCUGAGCAAUUCUUGGCAUGACUUUUCUCCAUUCAGUUUAGAUUUUUGUGAUAAAAGGCGACUAUAAUAAAGAGAAUGGUAAAGGAAAAUAUCUAACAUGGAAUUUAUAUCUAAUCUUCUUGAAAGUUAUGAACACUUGUUAAUCCUUAAUUUCAACUCUUGAGAUUUCAUCUGAUUUGAGAUAUUCCU
rnacentral:lncRNA from 1 species